GAUAGAGGCAGACCGUGGAAGGGAUCGACAACACCUUGUGACGACACUGAUAAACAAUUGUUUAGCAGUUGCACAAAGAUCAAACUAGGUAAUGGAAGCAUUGCAAGCUUCUGGGGAGACCGAUGGCUUAACGGUGAAGCUCCAAGUAUUAAGGCCCUUGCCAUGUUCUAGCUUGCAAGAUUCAAAAAUGUUACUGUCAAGGAUGGACUGUGAAAUGGAAAAUGCAUGCAUGGACUACAAAGAAUGGAUAAUGUCGAGCAGCUCACACAGUUCAUCGAACUUUGGGAGGAAGUGCAAUAGAUUACGUUAUUGUCGGAGACGGAUAAAAUUGUCUGGAGUCUUACUGCAGAUAGAACUUACACUGCAAGCUCAGCAUAUGCGGCGCAAUUUCUCACAAAGAUUGAUAAACCAGGGCUGGCCAAAGUAUGGCAAAGCAAGAUGGAAGGGAAAUUUAGGUUCUAUGUUUGGCUUUUGAUUCAGAACAGAAAUUGGACUGCAUGUCGAUUACAGGUUCGAGGUUGGCCCCACAACGAUAAGUGCAAGUUAUGUGACCAGGAGCCUAAAACUGCGGAUCACAUUGUGUUGCUGUGCUCAUAUGCAAAAGAAACUUGGUUUCAGUUCCGGCAGUCCAAUUUUGCGCUGUGCGACUGCUGA
rnacentral:rRNA from 1 species